UACGUAGGGUGCAAGCGUUAAUCGGAAUUACUGGGCGUAAAGCGUGCGCAGGCGGUUUGUAAGUUUGUCGUGAAAUCCCCGGGCUCAACCUGGGAACUGGCGAUGAAGACUGCAAGGCUAGAAUCUGGCAGAGGGGGGGUAGAAUUCCACGUGUGAGCAGUGAAAUGCGUAGAGAUGUGGAGGAACACCGAUGGCGAAGGCAGCCCCCUGGGUCAAGAUUGACGCU
rnacentral:rRNA from 1 species